AUGACUACAUCUAACAUCAAGGAGUCUGGCAAGUUUAAUCCUCUUGGGUGUCUGCAAGGAGGCAAGAACCAGAAACAUGGAGGUAGUUUGUUUGCCACUGAUGCUUCAGUUGCAACACAACAUGGCACCUGCCUUCAAGACAUCAGAACUGUGACCAUCAACGUCUCCUAUUUUUUCAGGUCUGUCAGAACCAAUUCCAGCUAGCUCCAGGCAUUUUCAACUGCCAUCACCUGCAUUUCUGGUCCCAGAAACCAUGGAAAUCUACUUGGUCUACUCAGUUGACUGGAUGUGCUUUCUAGCAUCCCCUAGCCAAAAUAAAUGCCCUAAUUACUUCCCGAAUGGAAAAAUUAUGAGGAAUUUUCUUUAGAGGAAUAAUAAUGCUGCUUUCAUUAGCUUACUCUCCUUGCCUGAAUUAUUUCUCCACUCCUCUGUUGUUCCCUGUGUCUCUCCAAUAACUUUAGGGGAAACCUGAAUAAAACAGGUGCUCUCAGUCUAAUGAUGGAGAUGGACAGAGAAAUAAAUAGUUGUACAGGCUGAGCAUCCUUAAUCUGAAAAUUUGAAACCCA
rnacentral:lncRNA from 1 species